GCUGUGCCAAGUUUCCGGAGGCUGUCCUGGUAUAGAUGUCAGCAAGCUCAGGCUUCUGCAGGCAAAGAGAUCUCAUCUUACCUUGUCUGAAUCCAUUAAUAAUGUCCCAGUCCCACUUAGCCCUCCCAGUGGCCUGAGGUGCAGUUCUGUGAGAAUAACCACUUGGUUUUAGUGGCUAUGAAGGGUUUGCAAUCACAUGGGUGAGCUGGCAUUUCAGAGCAUGAAAGAAAAUGAAACCAGCUCAAUCUCCCCAUAGAGACAAUAUUUAUAAGUUUUUUAAUAAAAGAAGAAAUCAACCCUCCUGGUCUUAAAAUUUGAAAUUUACAUUUGUCUCAUCUGAGUUCCUUCCCCAGGAAACCCACCCUCAGGCACGGAACUGAAACUCACCAGAUCACCGCAUCCAGAGGAUGAGAUCCCAGACCCCUCACUCAGCAGCAUUGCUUCCCUACUGCUUCCUAACUUCUUCCUGCAGAAGGCAGAUCGAAUACAGGGCAGGCUCCUUGGGCAAGAUCAACUUGCAUAAACCAAGUGGCACUGAAGACACAGAGGACAGGGCAAAGCAGCGGCUCUAUGUGCUAACCAAAUAUGGAGGCAGGGGAGCCGGAGUAUCAAAAACACCACAGCAAAACGUGACUGUAGCUGUUAAAGCCUAAUGCACACACCCUAUAAUCCAGCAAUUUCACUUCCAGAUGCUUCCCUAAGGAAGCCCUCAUGUGGUUUUCUUCAUGGUUUUCUGCAAAACAUCAGCAAUCCAUUUGAAAGGAAAGAAGUGUCACAGCCCCUGAUUUACCAGCGAACAAAAAACACUUGUUAAUAAAUCUUCUGCACAAAGA
rnacentral:lncRNA from 1 species